UACAUGGGGUGCAAACGUUGCUCGGAAUUAUUGGGCGUAAAGGGCGCGUAGGCGGUGCGGUAAGUCUUUUGUGAAAUCUCCGGGCUCAACUCGGAGUCUGCAAGAGAAACUGCCGUGCUGGAGUAUGGGAGAGGUGAGUGGAAUUCCCGGUGUAGCGGUGAAAUGCGCAGAUAUCAGGAGGAACACCAAUAGCGAAGGCAGCUCGCUGGGACGUUACUGACACUGAGGCGCGAAAGCGUGGGGAGCGAACAGG
rnacentral:rRNA from 1 species